UACAUGGGGUGCAAACGUUGCUCGGAAUUAUUGGGCGUAAAGGGCUCGUAGGCGGCCAACUAAGUCAUACGUGAAAUCCCUCGGCUUAACCGGGGAACUGCGUCUGAUACUGGAUGGCUUGAGUUCGGGAGAGGGAUGCGGAAUUCCAGGUGUAGCGGUGAAAUGCGUAGAUAUCUGGAGGAACACCGGUGGCGAAGGCGGCCUCCUGGACCGAUACUGACGCUGAUGAGCGAAAGCCAGGGGGGCAAACGGG
rnacentral:rRNA from 1 species